rnacentral:rRNA from 1 species
CAACUUUAGACGGUACAUUAUAUGUCUACCGUGGUUGUAACGAGUACAGAGAAUCAGGGUUUGGUUCUGGAGAGGCCGCCUGAGAAACGGCGACCACUUCCAAGGAAGGCAGCAGGCGCGCAAAUUACCCACUCUCAAAAUGAGGAGGUAGUGAAGAGAAAUAACGAUGUUAGUCUUUUCAAGGCUGACAAUCGGAAUGGGAACACUGUAAAAAGGUUAUCGAUUAACAAUUGGAGGGCAAGUCUGGUGCCAGCAGCCGCGGUAAUUCCAGCUCCAAUAAGGAAAACUAAAGUUGCUGUGUUUAAAAAGCUCGUAGUUGAAUUUCGGGUAUUUGUUGCUAGUUGGUCUAACUGGCCAUAUUGGUUAACAGAUCCUCAUUUGCUGGACGGCUGGCGAUGAUCUUAUCGAUUGUCGUCAGUUGCCAGAACGUUUACUUUGAGAAAAUUAGAGUGCUAAAGCAGGCUCACGCCUAUAUAUAUUGCAUGGAAUAAU